rnacentral:snRNA from 1 species
AGCUUUGCGCAGUGGCAGUAUCGUAGCCAAUGAGGUUUAUCCAAGGCACGAUUAUUGCUAACUGUAUCCACCUAUGUAACAAUAGUGCUGCAAUGCCAGUGACAAGUGGGAUGCACCUACAUCUUAUAAAAAA